ACACUUUGCAUACGUACGGUUGGCGAGUUUCUUUCUUGUUGGGAAAAGCGUGCUACCCGCUACCCGGUGACAAAUGUAAUCGCUGCUAUUGCUUCAAUUGCCGUUGAGAUGAGAUAGAGAAGCGAUCGCGAAAUCUAGUUCCGCGGCACAAGCGGAAGUAUAUCGAUGCGUCAAUGUUGUUGUUAUCCGGUACUUGAAGGUGCCGUAUCACAAAACCGCAUCUGUUAAAUAUGCUCCCAGUAGAGAACUGCUGUACGCACCUUCGUGCGGCUGACAGGCAUCGUACAGCGUAUGUUGUCUGAAAGAAUGAGGUCAACAGUUUGCCUGCCGCUGUACCUCCUGUUGUGCCCCUUUUGCUACCUCCCGACCGGCCACAAACGGUUUGCGACCAGAAAGGAUGGGAAAGAAACGCCAUCGCUUUCCAUAUUGCACGGCUGUACGCGCACGCGAUGAUGCAUCACCCGGCAGACUGAUGAUUGCCGGAGAUAGUCCGGUUUCCGAUUUGUGCCGGGAUGGGUUUUGUGGUUUUUCUCUCCCCAUUCAGCAUCCGCCACCUCCACACUUCUCCCUACCCCUCGCCAAACACACGUGUCAGCGGUAUGGCUGUCCCCUUUUUGGAUGGUCUGCUCGCGCGAAUCGCACGUUGUACACGCGCAUUUGGACGUGCCCCGUGCGCUGGUUAGCGGGUUUAUUUAUGUGUCUACGGACCAUGCGUGACACAUCACGCAUCUCUGCACUCUGGCGGUCUAGAAAAGGGUACAGAGCAAUGCUGCCUGCUGCAUUGCACAUGAUUGCCCCGCAUGUGUUAAUUCUGUUCGCGCCGGCGGUGAUUCAUCAUUCCUAUGCAAAAGACGCCGAUCGUAAAAUUCGCCGCGACGGGUCUGAUGGAGAAGGGAAGCAGGCAUUGCAGUGAUGAUGUCUCCGGGUCUCCUAGCCUUCUGUUUAUGCCGGCGGGAAAAAAAAACCAACUUUGUCCGCCCCCUGGCUCGGGUUAACAACGGGGGAUCAAAUUCAACCGGGACAAACGGCACAACACUGAUUGCAUUAUGAUCUUCCUGGAUCAUCGACACAUUUUCUCAAAGAUAGAAAUAGGCUACAAAAUGUCCUUUAAUGCUGGUGCUCUUACAAAUGUAAGAAUCUCACGAAAGAAAGGUACAUUCAUUCAUACAACUUUUGAACUUCGUUGCCAGCGUAUUGAGUAUGAGGAAAACGAAUCGUGACAGGAUUCUAGACAUCAUCUACCCUGCAGCUAUUAUAAACGAAAUUACGAUGGUGCAGAAGAAACAGUUGCAAGCUAUCACGAAGUCCGUGCGGCAUUUAUUGCAGCAGAUGGCAGAGAAGCAGCUGCGGCAUUCUUACAUAGAACGCUUCUAGCCAAGACCACACGAUGUACACCCGGCAGAUAAACGACAGGUUGCAAGUCCCGUGGCAAACCCGUAUAGCGUGUGGUAGAACAAUCGAAGAGACACACCACAAUGAGCGCUUCAGCAGCAGCUGUACGUCGACCUGAUUUUCGAACGACUCGUAUAAGACUCGUCAGCAUCCGGCCACCGGGUGACGGGGGUGCAGAAGGCCAGAACAGGGAAUGAAGCUUUUAGCUUCAGCUUUUACUACUAAUUUUACGCUGUCCGUGGCUGCCAAAUCGUAACUGAUUCAACGAUCAGUUGCACCCGCUGCAAUUCCCAUUUUUUUCUCACCCGGCCAGAUUCGGUCUCUAAUUAUCGUUUAAUUUUCCACAUACGAGCUCAUCAAGCUCAGGGCCCGCGAUUCGAUGAGCGUGAAACGAGAUGGAAAGCUCGCCGAUAAAAACAAAAAAAAAACCCAAGCUUUGUAGUUAGGUUGAUUGUAGUUAUUUUGCUGCGUGUAAAUUGCACGUCGGACGGACACUUUUGCGUUGCGAUAUACUCGACCAUCUGUGUGUGUGUGUGUGGGCCCUCGCCCGUUCUCGCUUGCUUUCUCCUUCUCUUUCACGCACUUAAACAAACAGCUUCCUUCGGUACCACCAUUCCCUUUUUGGCGCAGCAACACCGCGCUGUCUGGUGGCUCCUUCCGUCGUCUCCUUCCUGGCAUGUCCUGCUCUGCUUUUCCCACUUGCUUGCUUGGUGGGAUUAUUACAAAGUUUAACACAUCCUUCAUCGUACGCCACAGGAUGCGUGUGCGGAUAAAGCAGAAGAAUGUCUUAAUUGUGCAAUUUAUCUUUUUCCGCCUACCGCCCGUACCCGGGCUGGCGGACCCAGAGGAAGGACAGGCGUGGGACAAGUGUGGUGGGGUGGCCCUUUUACGGUAGUAGUAAUAACAAUAAUAAUAAAAAAAAAAACCGUGAACCAUGAUAUUGUGAUGAUAUCGGCGACGAUCAACGACGAUGGUGAUCAUCAUCAUCGAUCCGGAUCGAUUCCCCUGUGUGCGCGCACAUGUGCGUGUGGUAAGAGUAGCGAGUGGCAUUGUCGUCGUUUCUCGCAGGCAAUCUGCGCAGCGGCAGUGCGGCCAUGGUCAUCUCACCGUGGUGGUCGCAUCCAAGCCGUUCGGAGGGAGGAACCGAUGUAAACGGAUCGAUAACGGAUCCGCGUGCGCUGCCCCGGCGUACAUCGUCCUCCACCCGUUUGUAACGAGGGAAAAGC